AGUGAACGCUGGCGGCGUGCCUAACACAUGCAAGUCGUGCGAGAAAGGGAGCAAUCCUGAGUAAAGCGGCGAACGGGUGAGUAACACGUGGUUAACCUGUCUGGAUGUGGGGGAUACCCCGGGGAAACCCGGGACAAUACCGCAUGAUGUCUCCUGGGCGUCGGCCUGGGAGAGCAAAGCCGGGGACCGCAAGGCCUGGCGCAACCAGAGGGGGACCGCGGCCGAUUAGCUAGUUGGCGGGGUAAUGGCCCACCAAGGCAUCGAUCGGUAGCCGGCCUGAGAGGGUGAACGGCCACACCGGAACUGAGACACGGUCCGGACUCCUACGGGAGGCAGCAGUGGGGAAUUUUGCGCAAUGGGCGAAAGCCUGACGCAGCAACGCCGCGUGGAGGAUGAAGGUGCUCUGCAUUGUAAACUCCUGUCGGCCGGGAAGAAUCGGCGGGGUGGCUAAUCAGCCCCGUCUUGACUGUACCGGCAAAGGAAGCCCCGGGCUAACUCCGUGCCAGCAGCCGCGGUAAU
rnacentral:rRNA from 1 species